rnacentral:rRNA from 1 species
GACGAACGCUGGCGGCGUGCUUAACACAUGCAAGUCGAACGGAAAGGCCCUGCUUUUGUGGGGUGCUCGAGUGGCGAACGGGUGAGUAACACGUGAGUAACCUGCCCUUGACUUUGGGAUAACUUCAGGAAACUGGGGCUAAUACCGGAUAGGAGCUCCUGCUGCAUGGUGGGGGUUGGAAAGUUUCGGCGGUUGGGGAUGGACUCGCGGCUUAUCAGCUUGUUGGUGGGGUAGUGGCUUACCAAGGCUUUGACGGGUAGCCGGCCUGAGAGGGUGACCGGCCACAUUGGGACUGAGAUACGGCCCGGACUCCUACGGGAGGCAGCAGUGGGGAAUAUUGCACAAUGGGCGGAAGCCUGAUGCAGCAACGCCGCGUGCGGGAUGACGUCCUUCGGGUUGUAAACCGCUUUCGCCUGUGACGAAGCGUGAGUGACGGUAAUGGGUAAAGAAGCACCGGCUAACUACGUG